GAUGAACGCUACGCGGGCGAGGCUUAAUACAUGCAAGUCGAGGGGCAUCAGGCUUAGUAGACGAAUAUAAGGGCUGGCGACCGGCAAACGGGUGCGGAACACGUACACAACCUUCCUUUAAGAGGGGGAUAGCCCAUAGAAAUGUGGAUUAAUACCCCGUAAGAUAGUGGGAUGGCAUCAUACUACUAUUAUAGUUACGACGCUUGAAGAUGGGUGUGCGUCUGACUAGGUAGUUGGCGGGGUAAAGGCCCACCAAGCCUUCGAUCAGUAGCUGAUGUGAGAGCAUGGUCAGCCACACGGGCACUGAGACACGGGCCCG
rnacentral:rRNA from 1 species